rnacentral:rRNA from 1 species
CAGCCGCCGCGGGAAUACGUAGGGUGCAAGCGUUAAUCGGAAUUACUGGGCGUAAAGCGUGCGCAGGCGGUUAUAUAAGUCAGAUGUGAAAUCCCCGGGCUCAACCUGGGAACUGCAUUUGAGACUGUAUGGCUAGAGUGUGUCAGAGGGGGGUAGAAUUCCACGUGUAGCAGUGAAAUGCGUAGAUAUGUGGAGGAAUACCGAUGGCGAAGGCAGCCCCCUGGGAUAACACUGACGCUCAUGCACGAAAGCGUGGGGAGCAAACAGGAUUAGAUACCCGUGUAGUCCCUGUCUCUUAUAC